rnacentral:rRNA from 1 species
GCAAGUUGAACGCUCACUUUCGGUGAGAGUGGGCGAAGGGUGAGUAACGCGUGAGUAAUCUGCCCUAAAGUUUGGAACAACUCGUUGGAAACGACAGCUAAUACCGGAUGUGAAUACUUUUAUGCAUGUAUAAGUAUUUAAAGGUUUACUGCUUUAGGAUGAGCUCGCGUCCCAUUAUGCUAGUUGGUAAGGUAACGGCUUACCAAGGCUAUGACGGGUAGGUGGUCUGAGAGGAUGGUCACCCACACUGGGACUGAGACACUGCCCAGACUCCUGCGGGAGGCUGCAGUCGAGAAUCUUCCGCAAUGCGCGAAAGCGUGACGGAGCAAUGCCGCGUGGAGGAUGAAGGCUUUCGGGUCGUAAACUUCUGUCAGGGGGGAAAAACAUUGAUUGUACCCCCAGAGGAAGCCACGGCUAACAACGUGCCAGCAGCCGCGGUAAUACGUAGGUGGCGAGCGUUAUUCGGAUUUACUGGGCGUAAAGGGUCCGUAGGGGGAUAUAUAAGUCUGAUGUGAAAUUUCGGGGCUCAACCCCGAACCUGCAUUUGGAAACUGUGUAUCUAGAAUCCGGUAGAGGUAAGUGGAAUUUUGUGGUGUAGCGGUGGAAUGCGUAGAUAUCACAAGGAACACCAAAGGCGAAAGCAGCUUUACUGGGCCGGUAUUGACCCUGAGGGACGAAAGCUAAGGUAGCGAAAAGGAUUAGAUACCCUUUGUAGUCUUAGC